GGUCGUGGUUUUGAGGCACCUUUAACCCAGAGUUCUCUUUGUUUCCUGAUUUCACAAGAAAGCCUCUGCCUGGUAGCCUGAUGUCAUUCAUUCCCAGCUGAUGAGCCACCAGGUGCAGGAUGGACAAGGGACUAGAAAUCCCAAAUGACAGAAAGGAAACUGCUCCUUUGUGGUACAGCUGAGAGCCAGUUUCCUAUGGGAGAUGAGUCACAUGCUCACGAGACUGAGAGAACAGCAUCUACAUUCCUUCACGUUCCAUCUUUCCACUGCCCUGCUUUGGCUCCUGGCCCUACGAUGACAUUGUAACUGCAGGAGCAUGUGACAAUAAAACUUCCCUAAGAGGAACUGAGGUCAAUAUGUCGCCUCUCAUCUGGUGCCUCGCAGCCACCUGUGACUACAACUCUGAGAUGUCCCUCUUCUGGCCUCUGCAG